GGGAAGGCGCGGCAGGGCCCGACGGCGCGGCCGGGCCGGGGCCGGGGGACCGGAGCUGCCGCCGCGGGGGUGCCCGGGCUGUGCCCGCGGGGCGGCGGCUCCGACGAGACGGCGGCUCCCGCUGCCCGGCCCGCCCCGAGGGGGCCUGUGGCGCGGCAGCUCCGGCCGGGCACCCUGUCCCGCUGCCUUCCCCGCCGCGGCGCCGGCUCGCCGCUAUCGACCGGCGGGCUCCCGGGGCGGUUUGCCGCAGGGACGCGCCUGCACCCGGCCCCUCUUUGAGCCGCGUGGCGGGGAGCGGCGUGGCUGGAGGUGCGCGGCCCAAAGGCCCCAGGCCGAGUGCCGGAGCGGAGGGCCCGGCCCCACCGGCCGGGGGCAGCACCGGCCCGUGCCCAGGCACCGUGACACCUGCCCGGGGCCCCCGGUAAUUAGCCCCCGGGGACUUGCGGGCCACGCGCGGAGCCCUGAGGUAAGGCACCGGCACACGGACAGCGGGAGGUUUAUUUCAUUUCCAAGGAGGACGGCACCGCCGUGCUUUCCGCAACAACCAGCGGUGAGCGGCGAGCGCCGCCGGGCUGGGGCCGCCGGGGAGAGCCUGGCGGCCCCGGGUCCCACGCCGGCUCCCGGUGGACCCUGCCCGGCGGGGCGGGGGGCGGUGCAGCCGGAGCGGGGCGGGCUCCCUCCCGCCCCCGAAGGACAGCGACUGAACGGGCCUGGGGGCGCUCGGCGCGGACCCGCUGGCCACUCCGGCCCGGCCCCCGCGGCGCCCACCCCGGUGCCCGCAGGGGCCCGCCACCGCCCUGUACGCGCCCGCGGCUCUGGAGAAGGAACCGCCGGCGGCCGCCGCCACGCAGCGGCUGCCGCGGCGCCCGAGAGCGCCGUUGCGCCCGCAGCUCCCGGGCACCGGGGCGGGCUCGGCGCCGCGGGGCACCCGGCGGCCGGCGCGGCGGAGCCACCCCGCGCGGCCCCGCUCCCCUGCCCGGCCGCGCCGCUCCGCCGGCCCCGCCCCGGCCCCGCCCCACCGGCCGGCAGCGCGGCUCGGCGCGGCCCCAUUGGCGGCGGUACGGCGCGCCGGCCCCGCCCCCGGGCGCCCAUUGGCCGCCGCUCACCGUCGCCCGCCCCCGCGCCGCCCGCCCCCGCGCCGCCCGCCGGCGCUCCGGACUGCGGGCAGUGGCGUGCGGCCGCCGCAGCGAGCGCCGGCGGGAGCGGGCUCGGCGCGGCGCGGUUCGGCCCCGCUCGGUUCGGCGCGGCACGGCGCGGCUCGGCUCGGCACCCCGCUCCCGCACGCCAUGCCUGGCCCAGCCGCGGCGCCGCCGGCUCGGAGCGCCUGAGCGGGCGGUGUUGGCGUGGGCGCGGGGGACCGCGGCUCCGGUGCCCGCACCCGCCCGCCGCCGCCGCCGCGGCCGGGGCAGCCCGGCGGGCGCUGUCCGAAUGAGGGCUGCGGGCCCCUGAGGCGGGCGGCCGGCGGCCGUCGGGGCGCGGCG
rnacentral:lncRNA from 1 species